UACGUAGGGGGCGAGCGUUGUCCGGAUUUAUUGGGCGUAAAGAGCUCGUAGGCGGUUCGGCAAGUCGACGGUGAAAUCUCCACGCUCAACGUGGAGGGGUCCGUCGAUACUGCUGAGACUCGAGUCCGGUAGGGGAGUGUGGAAUUCCCGGUGUAGCGGUGAAAUGCGCAGAGAUCGGGAGGAACACCGGUGGCGAAGGCGGCAUCCUGGACCGGUAUUGACGCUGAGGCGCGAAAGCCAGGGGAGCAAACGGG
rnacentral:rRNA from 1 species